rnacentral:rRNA from 1 species
CACGUAGGGCGCAAGCGUUGUCCGGAAUUAUUGGGCGUAAAGAGCUCGUAGGCGGUCUGUUGCGUCUGCUGUGAAAACCCGGGGCUUAACCCCUGGCUUGCAGUGGAUACGGACAGACUAGAGGUAGGUAGGGGAGAAUGGAAUUCCCGGUGUAGCGGUGAAAUGCGCAGAUAUCGGGAGGAACACCGGUGGCGAAGGCGACUCUUUGGCCUGUAACUGACGCUGAGGCGCGAAAGCGUGGGGAGCAAACAGG